rnacentral:rRNA from 1 species
GGGGAUCUGCCCGAUAGAGGGGGAUAACCACUGGAAACGGUGGCUAAUACCGCAUAACGUCGCAAGACCAAAGAGGGGGACCUUCGGGCCUCUCACUAUCGGAUGAACCCAGAUGGGAUUAGCUAGUAGGCGGGGUAAUGGCCCACCUAGGCGACGAUCCCUAGCUGGUCUGAGAGGAUGACCAGCCACACUGGAACUGAGACACGGUCCAGACUCCUACGGGAGGCAGCAGUGGGGAAUAUUGCACAAUGGGCGCAAGCCUGAUGCAGCCAUGCCGCGUGUAUGAAGAAGGCCUUCGGGUUGUAAAGUACUUUCAGCGGGGAGGAAGGCGGUGCGGUUAAUAACCGCGCCGAUUGACGUUACCCGCAGAAGAAGCACCGGCUAACUCCGUGCCAGCAGCCGCGGUAAUACGGAGGGUGCAAGCGUUAAUCGGAAUUACUGGGCGUAAAGCGCACGCAGGCGGUCUGUUAAGUCAGAUGUGAAAUCCCCGGGCUUAACCUGGGAACUGCAUUUGAAACUGGCAGGCUUGAGUCUCGUAGAGGGGGGUAGAAUUCCAGGU